rnacentral:lncRNA from 1 species
UCCUCCUAAUCUCUCUCAAAAACCCUCAAUUUAGACAUCCCCAGUCAAAAAUAACCUUGGACUCACAGUAAAGCACCCAUUCAAAAUCAAAUCUGAAGCUCCACAAAUUGAACGCAACCUUUAGAUUAAACAACUAGAAUAUCUCCUUUAAAUUCUUCUGCCUGAAAGGUUUAUUUUAGCUUUUAUGAAAAAAAGGAGAUAAAGCAAACAAAAUAGUCGAUUCUCCAGCUUGACUAUGUUAGGAAUUUGGAGAAUGGAGGUCUGGCCUCUUUUGAUAAAUUAUUGCAUAGUGGAG